rnacentral:rRNA from 1 species
UAGGGAAUCUUCCACAAUGGACGCAAGUCUGAUGGAGCAACGCCGCGUGAGUGAAGAAGGUUUUCGGACCGUAAAGCUCUGUUGUUGGUGAAGAAGGAUAGAGGUAGUAACUGGCCUUUAUUUGACGGUAAUCAACCAGAAAGUCACGGCUAACUACGUGCCAGCAGCCGCGGUAAUACGUAGGUGGCAAGCGUUGUCCGGAUUUAUUAGGCGUAAAGCGAGCGCAGGCGGAAGAAUAAGUCUGAUGUGAAAGCCCUCGGCUUAACCGAGGAAUUGCAUCGGAAACUGUUUUCUUGAGUGCAGAAGAGGAGAGUAGAACUCCAUGUGUAGCGGUGGAAUGCGUAGAUAUAUGGAAGAAUACCAGUGGCGAAGGCGGCUCUCUGGUCUGCAACUGACGCUGAGGCUCGAAAGCAUGGGUAGCGAACAGGGUUAGA